GAUGAACGCUGGCGGCGUGCCUAAUACAUGCAAGUCGAGCGAACAGACGAGGAGCUUGCUCCUCUGACGUUAGCGGCGGACGGGUGAGUAACACGUGGAUAACCUACCUAUAAGACUGGGAUAACUUCGGGAAACCGGAGCUAAUACCGGAUAACAUGUUGAACCGCAUGGUUCAACAGUGAAAGACGGUUUUGCUGUCACUUAUAGAUGGAUCCGCGUCGCAUUAGCUAGUUGGUAAGGUAACGGCUUACCAAGGCAACGAUGCGUAGCCGACCUGAGAGGGUGAUCGGCCACACUGGAACUGAGACACGGUCCAGACUCCUACGGGAGGCAGCAGUAGGGAAUCUUCCGCAAUGGGCGAAAGCCUGACGGAGCAACGCCGCGUGAGUGAAGAAGGUCUUCGGAUCGUAAAACUCUGUUAUUAGGGAAGAACAAAUGUGUAAGUAACUAUGCACGUCUUGACGGUACCUAAUCAGAAAGCCACGGCUAUCUACGUG
rnacentral:rRNA from 1 species